rnacentral:rRNA from 1 species
AUAACGACUCUCGGCAACGGAUAUCUCGGCUCUCGCAUCGAUGAAGAACGUAGCGAAAUGCGAUACUUGGUGUGAAUUGCAGAAUCCCGUGAACCAUCGAGUCUUUGAACGCAAGUUGCGCCCAAAGCCAUCAGGCCGAGGGCACGUCUGCCUGGGCGUCACG